GCUGCCCCUCGUAUUCCACCUCAUUUUCCGCCACCCUUUUCGCUUGAAUCAAAUCCAUAAAUUGCAAUCUUUCUUUUCCACGAAAACAUAAAAUUCCCUCCGCCUCCCUUUUUUGCUUGAAAUCAAAUCCACAAACUGCAAAAAUCAGAAAUCUCAGGCUACAGGUACUAUAAUUUUUUGCUUGAAUUUUGUUUUAUCCUUUUUGGAUUUCAGUUUGCGUGAAUUUUGGAUCUGAUUUAAGCAAGCUUGAAUCUGACAACAAUUUCUUGCUUGAAUUUUGUUUUACCCCUUUGGAUUCCAGCUUGUGUAAAUUUUGGGGUUCUGGGUCAUCUUAGAUUGUUUUUUUCUUCUUUCUUUCUUAUUUGGACGAUACCUUUGUGCCCCAUGCAUUUUCUUUUUACAAUUGCUACAUGUCGAGCGAUUGCUCUGUUUAUUCAAUUAAUUGGGGCACCAACUUUGUCUCUGUUCUUGUUUUCUUCUUAAACCUAAAAUUAAGGAUUAGGGACCUCAUCCAAAGUAUCCCUUAUAAAUAUUACGACAAUACCAGUUUUCUAUUUAACAAAGAGAGUUAGAGAGAAAGUAAAAGGUAGAGGUACUUGAAAGAAUUACAAACACGAUACGAAAGACUUGAAUGCUUUGUUUUAUGGUUUGUCCUUUCUAUUUUUUAUCGAUUUGUAAGACUUUGGCAAUUUAUGAAUUUAGUUAAACAAAUUGGAUCUUAAAGUGUCUUUAUUUCACUAAUUCAUUGUAUUUGAUUAAGUGGGAUUUUGGUAUGUCCCAAGAACUAAAAAAAUGUCUAUCAAGGUUUGAUGAAACUCUAGGAAGUGCCCUCUGUCCUUUGGGUAUAAUGCCCAUGGAUGGAGGUUGCAAGAUUGAAAGAGAACUUCUAUGGGAUUUUUUUCAUUUGAUUAAGCUUUUCUCUCUAAUGUUUUUAGGGGGUGUCAGAUUGCAAGAAUGAAUGACAACAUGAAUUGGAUUUUGGGUUGCUUCAGAUUACUACUUUCAGCUAUAGCUAUAGUUCAUUUUAGGUUCAUGUAUAGAAUUGGAUUUGUUGUAUCAAAUGCUACAAUUUUGCAGUGACAUACAAUGUGUUAAUAGCCUUUUGCUAUUGUAAGUACAAGUGAGCCUGUGGUUGUAAAUUGUAAUGAGACAAAGUGAUAUCUUAUACAACUCAUCGUAUGGCUGACAUGAUUUCUUAUGCCUUGGCCUUUUGCUCCUUAUAUGCUUUAUUCACUAUGAUAUAUAGCAUGACAGUACAUUACUCAAAUGACAGGUGCACUCAAUCUUAAAACGAGAAAGUUAUGGAACAAUAAUUAAGAGCAAAGUUAUUGUUUCAAGUGACUGUAAUCUCAAUGCUUCCUACUAUCUAGUGCUACAAUCAAGUGAAGACUGGCGCUAUUCGCGAUCACAUAUGAGUCAGGGUUGCCUAUUGCAACCUGUACGACAGGACUGGCACCUACUUGGAUCCAAGGCGAGCAUGCGGUGCAGAUGUGAACAUACACGUGAAAGACUGGCCUUGGCCCUAGGUGAGCACUAACACCGGGUGCAGCUAUGAUGAGUAGACUACAUAAAUAUAAGCAUGCCAUAAUGAUUCAAUAAUUCUAGUCAACAUAAUAAACUUACCACCGUAUCCCGUAGGAUCAUUUUAGCAUUUCACAACAGUACAACAUUUCUUAUAACGUUAUUUAAUCAUGGCAUGAUAUGCAUAAAUCAAUUCAAAAGCAUUUGUGGAAACU
rnacentral:lncRNA from 1 species